UGGCUCAGAUUGAACGCUGGCGGCAGGCUUAACACAUGCAAGUCGAACGGUAGCGGGAAGGAGCUUGCUUCUUUUCGUGAGAGUGGCGGACGGGUGAGUAAUGCUUGGGAAUCUGGCUUAUGGAGGGGGAUAACUACUGGAAACGGUAGCUAAUACCGCGUAAUGUCUACGGACUAAAGGGGGCGUUUGCUCUUGCCAUAAGAUGAGCCCAAGUGGGAUUAGGUAGUUGGUGGGGUAAAGGCCUACCAAGCCUGCGAUCUCUAGCUGGUCUGAGAGGAUGGCCAGCCACACCGGGACUGAGACACGGCCCGGACUCCUACGGGAGGCAGCAGUGGGGAAUAUUGCGCAAUGGGGGGAACCCUGACGCAGCCAUGCCGCGUGAAUGAAGAAGGCCUUCGGGUUGUAAAGUUCUUUCGGUGAUGAGGAAGGGACUGUGGUGAAUACCCACAGUCAUUGACGUUAAUUACAGAAGAAGCACCGGCUAACUCCGUGCCAGCAGCCGCGGUAAUACGGAGGGUGCGAGCGUUAAUCGGAAUAACUGGGCGUAAAGGGCACGCAGGCGGCUAUUUAAGUGAGGUGUGAAAUCCCCGGGCUUAACCUGGGAAUUGCAUUUCAUACUGGGUAGCUAGAGUACUUUAGGGAGGGGUAGAAUUCCACGUGUAGCGGUGAAAUGCGUAGAGAUGUGGAGGAAUACCGAAGGCGAAGGCAGCCCCUUGGGAAUGUACUGACGCUCAUGUGCGAAAGCGUGGGGAGCAAACAGGAU
rnacentral:rRNA from 1 species